CUCCCUCGUUGCUGAUCUCAAAAGGUUCGAUAAUGCCAAUAUCGCACCACCUCGCCUAAAACCAACUUCGAUGAAGCGACGGGCGGUGUGUG
rnacentral:rRNA from 1 species